CAUUCAUUUUUUUAAAUAUCCUAUUAUUUGGUAAUUUAAAAGGGUGCUGAAAGAGUGGACUUUGGAGAAGGACCUAGAUUUCAGUCCUAUCUCUAACACUUACUGACCAUGGCCAUUAUUUGGUUAACAGUCUUUUAGAUAAAGUAUUGAUAGUCCAUUUCAAGAAAGAAAAUAUCUCACCAUAGUCCUUUAUUUGCUUUUAUAGAUCAGUGUACUGUUACCCGGACGUACCUGUUCCUUCACAAAUUCUGGUUCUUUAGUGCAGCAUACUAUUUUGGUAACUGGGCCUUUCUUGGGGUAUUCUUGAUUGGAUUAAUUGUAUCCUGUUGUAAAGGGAAGAAAUCAGUCAUUGAAGGAGUAGAUGAAGAUGAUUCAGACAUAAGUGAUGAUGAGCCCUCUGUCUAUUCCGUUUGACAGCCUCUGUCGUAGGGGUUUUAUAAGGCUGACUGAAUGUCUGUUAUGCAUUUUUAAAGUGUUAAACUAAUAUUAGGAUGAACUGACUAGCUUUCAUCAAAAAUGGGAGCAUGGCUAUUAAAAAAACUAUAUUUUUUAUGUUAUCUGAAGUAACAUUGUAUCAUAGAUUAACAUUUAAAAUUGCUAUAAUAAUUCUAUGUAAAUAUAAAACUAUGGAUUUUGUGAAGGAAUGUUUGUGGAAAUUUUUUUUUCUCUAGUGUAUAAUAGUGUUGAAUUGAUUAAAAAUCUUCCAGAACUAAUAUUCCCUUUUGUCACUUUUUAAAAAACAUAAUAAAUCAAUUGUAUCUGUGCCUUUGGGUCUCUAGAGUAAUGUGGAAUUCUGAAGUGUCUAUAAGUGAUUGUCUAAAAAUAAUACUCACAAAAUAGCUGACAAAUAAAUGUUACUCCCCUCUGCAA